rnacentral:rRNA from 1 species
GAUGAACGCUGGCGGCGUGCCUAAUACAUGCAAGUCGAGCGAACGGACGAGAAGCUUGCUUCUCUGAUGUUAGCGGCGGACGGGUGAGUAACACGUGGAUAACCUACCUAUAAGACUGGGAUAACUUCGGGAAACCGGAGCUAAUACCGGAUAAUAUUUUGAACCGCAUGGUUCAAAAGUGAAAGACGGUCUUGCUGUCACUUAUAGAUGGAUCCGCGCUGCAUUAGCUAGUUGGUAAGGUAACGGCUUACCAAGGCAACGAUGCAUAGCCGACCUGAGAGGGUGAUCGGCCACACUGGAACUGAGACACGGUCCAGACUCCUACGGGAGGCAGCAGUAGGGAAUCUUCCGCAAUGGGCGAAAUCCUGACGGAGCAACGCCGCGUGAGUGAUGAAGGUCUGCGGAUCGUAAAACUCUGUUAUUAGGGAAGAACAUAUGUGUAAGUAACUGUGCACAUCUUGACGGUACCUAAUCAGAAAGCCACGGCUAACUACGUG